AGAAAGAAAGAAAGAAAGAAAGAAAGAAAGAAAGAAAGAAAGAAAGAAAGAAAGAAAGAGAGAAAGAAUUUGUUUUCAAAUUCACAGGGCAUUGUCCUAAAGGAAGUGACACUCCAGAUUCCAGCGGACAGUAACGUUGAUUGCAAGAACAUGCUGGGGAGCUGGGGAGCGAGCCACACAGCUCUUCUGCGCUUCCAGAACACUGCUGUUUGACCAGUGACGCAGGAGAGAAUGCAGAACGCAACCACCAGGAGUUCAGCCUGAGCAAGGCCCUUCAGGGCAGAUACAGACAUGCCUCACUCGGAGGCUUCUUCAAGACCUGAAUUGCUUGUCGAGUUAUAGGAGUGUGGUUGGCAACAGACUUCAGCUCUUGGCUUCCUUAGGGUCCUCCUCACCUUUCAAGCCAGAAGCCAGGGACUGUCUUGAUCAGUCUUCUGUCGCUAUAACUUAACUCUACAGGCUGGGUAACGUAUAAAGAUUAAAGGUUUGCUCAACUAGUGCUUCUGGGGGGCCAGGUCAAGGAGCCACAGCCUAUGAGAACCUCCUGGUGAGGUGGGUCCAGGCAACAGGAGGCAACAGAGGUGCAUUCAAGUCAUGGAGCUAAACUGCAGCAGCCCCACUCUGGUGAUGAACCCAGAAUCCAAACCUCAUAAUCUAAUCAUUCCUUAAGGCUCCACCCCCCACUUAAGCUUCGGAAUGUGAACCUGGACCUGGGUGGGGCGGUCAAGCUGUAACAGUCACACGCUGCUUGGGCACAUCCACGGUGACUGAACAGGACAAAGUGCAAAGUCCAGCCAUCCUCUCCUACCACAGGACAUGAUAACAUCACUUGUGUGAGCAGAACACCUCAGAUAGAAACCUGUCAGGUCUGCUGCGGCUCAUGAUGGCAGUCGGCCUGGACAGGUGGCCUUCAGAGGCUGCACUUGCCAAUCUGUUUCCUUCUCUUAAGUCUCCUCCCUGGAAAACAUUCCUAGCCUCUUUGCAGCUCCUCACGUUGGGAACCUGCCCUUUCCUGAGGGGGCUGUCAGAGACCCUCUGAAGACUGACAUCCUUUGGAAAAGUCUCCUCACAGGCCCGGCAGCUCACACCUGGAACACGGCAGCACCCAAGUGGCUGAUGAGAGACCGACCAUUCCUGCAAGUUUAAGGCCUGCUUGGACUGCAUAGCAAGUUCCAAGGCCACCCUUGGCUACAAACUCUGUUUCAAAUGCCUACAGAAAAGAAGGAAGAAAGGAAGAAGGGAAAAGGGAGGAAAGGGAGAGGGAGGAAGGGAGAAAGGGAGGGAGGGAGAGAGGGAAGAAGGGAGAGAGGGAAGAAGGGAGAGAGGGAAGAAGGGAGAGAGGGAAGAAGGGAGAGAGGGAAGGAGGGAGGGAGAAAAAGAAGGAAGGAGGGAGGGAGAGAGGGAGCAAGGAAAGGAGAGAGAGAAAGAAAAGGCAGGGAGGGAAAGGAGGGAAGGAAGGAAAGAAGGAAGGAAAUGUGAUCCCAGAUCCUGUGCCAUGCUAUCCUUGCUGGAAACUGUGCUGACUCCAGCUGGCUCUCUCCUGGGAAGGCCAAGCUGGAGGGGACCACACAGUACUCAGAACAGUAGUCAUCAAGGAGAAAAUGAAGACUCCUGCAGACCUCUAGAUUUAAGCCCCGUAUUGGGCUUUAUCCCUCCUUUCUUUUUUCUAUUUUCUUCUUUUCCCAUUUCUUAUUAUUUUUUUAUGACAGGGUCAAGGCCAACCCUAGCCUUAAUUGUAGACUCAGCCUCCCUUGUGUGCAGUGCUGUGGUUGGUUGCAGGUCUAUGACAUCACACAAAUCCUUUCUGUUUGUUAUUGUUGUCCUUUGCUUUAUUUCUGGACACUCUGCGUGAUACUGGAUGACCUGAUGCCUGCUGUGAAGACCAUGUUCUCUAUCCUCAAACUUAUGGCAGAGCCCCUGCCUCUGUCUCCAGGACACUGGGACUAUAGGCAUGUGCUGCUGUAGUUUUUAAAAAAUAUUUUAUUGAUUCUUUGUGAAUUUCACAUCAUGUACCCCAAUCCCACUCAUCUCCCCAUCCCUUUGUACCCACCCUCUGUCCUUGUAACCUCUCCGCUAAAGGGAAAAUAAAUAAAUAGCCUCACU
rnacentral:lncRNA from 1 species